rnacentral:tRNA from 1 species
GUCUAACGGUUAGGACAGAGUUUUUUCAAUACUCAAAUAAAGGUUCAAAUCCUUUA